AUUGAACGCUGGCGGAAUGCUUUACACAUGCAAGUCGAGCGGCAGCGCGGUUUUCGGGCUGGCGGCGAGCGGAGAACGCGGGUGUAAUGCAACUCAACAUGUCCUGUCGAGGGGGAUAAAACUUCGAAAGAAGCGCUAAUAUCGCAUACGUGCUGAGGGGGAAAACGGGGGGUCGCAAGACCACGCGCGAUUAGUGUGGAAGCAGGCAGAUUUGAUUGUUGGUGGGGUAAAGGCCUACCAAGGCGCCGAUCGGAAGCUGGUCUGAGAGGACGACCAGCCACACUGGGACUGAGACACGGCCCAGACUCCUACGGGAGGCAGCAGUGGGGAAUUUUCGACAAUGGGCGAAAGCCUGAUCCAGCCAUGCCGCGUGAGUGAAGAAGGCCUUCGGGUUGUAAAGCUCUUUUAGCAGGAACGAAACGCUGGGCGCUAACAUAGUCGGGUAAUGACGGUACCUGAAGAAGAAGCACCGGCUAACUACGUG
rnacentral:rRNA from 1 species